rnacentral:rRNA from 1 species
AGGGAUCAUUACAAGUGACCCCGGUCUAACCACCGGGAUGUUCAUAACCCUUUGUUGUCCGACUCUGUUGCCUCCGGGGCGACCCUGCCUUCGGGCGGGGGCUCCGGGUGGACACUUCAAACUCUUGCGUAACUUUGCAGUCUGAGUAAAUUUAAUUAAUAAAUUAAAACUUUUAACAACGGAUCUCUUGGUUCUGGCAUCGAUGAAGAACGCAGCGAAAUGCGAUAAGUAAUGUGAAUUGCAGAAUUCAGUGAAUCAUCGAAUCUUUGAACGCACAUUGCGCCCCCUGGUAUUCCGGGGGGCAUGCCUGUUCGAGCGUCAUUUCACCACUCAAGCCUCGCUUGGUAUUGGGCAACGCGGUCCGCCGCGUGCCUCAAAUCGACCGGCUGGGUCUUCUGUCCCCUAAGCGUUGUGGAAACUAUUCGCUAAAGGGUGCUCGGGAGGCUACGCCGUAAAACAAACCAUUUCUAAGGUUGACCUCGGAUCAGGUAGGGAUACCCGCUGAACUUAAGCAUAUCA